rnacentral:rRNA from 1 species
GCACAACGCGAAGAACCUUACCAGGUCUUGACAUCCCGCUGACCGUCCUAGAGAUAGGGCUUCCCUUCGGGGCAGCGGUGACAGGUGGUGCAUGGUUGUCGUCAGCUCGUGUCGUGAGAUGUUGGGUUAAGUCCCGCAACGAGCGCAACCCUUAUCUUUAGUUGCCAGCAUUCAGUUGGGCACUCUAGAGAGACUGCCGUCGACAAGACGGAGGAAGGCGGGGAUGACGUCAGAUCAUCAUGCCCCUUAUGACCUGGGCUACACACGUGCUACAACGGCUGGUACAACGGGACGCAAGCCCGCGAGGGUAAGCCAAUCUCUUAAAACCAGUCUCAGUUCGGAUUGCAGGCUGCAACUCGCCUGCAUGAAGUCGGAAUCGCUAGUAAUCGCGAAUCAGAAUGUCGCGGUGAAUACGUUCCCGGGUCUUGUACACACCG